rnacentral:lncRNA from 1 species
GCAACAACAUCAAGUCGGCCCGAAAGUAAUGAUCCCGAAUCAUUAAAGGAUAUUUCUUACAUACUUUAUCGACAGUCACACAUUUGCCUAACGGAUUCGACACUCUAAUCAUAAAUUCUGUGUUCUCAACAGGUAUAUUCAUACUAGACACCAAUUUCAUGCACACAUAUGAAUGAGUAGAACCGGGAUCAAUCAAAGCAAUAACAUUAACAUUAUAGAGAGAAAAUGUACCGGUAAUCAC